AACCUGCCCAGCAGAGCGACCCGUGAACACGUUCAAACCACAUGGGUGUUGGGGCGUUGCUCGGUGCCUCGUGUGCUUCCUCGUCCCUCUCCCAAGCUGGGGGAGCGCUCACUUGUGGGUUGCUUCCCCGGCAAAACAACGAACCCCGGCGCGUAAUGCGUCAAGGAAUACAAACUUUAUGUGUGUACUCUCCCGUUGCCCGGUUAGCCGGGCGUUGGAGUGGUGCCAUGUCUUAGCAAUAAACGACUCUCGGCAACGGAUAUCUCGGCUCUCGCAUCGAUGAAGAACGUAGCGAAAUGCGAUACUUGGUGUGAAUUGCAGAAUCCCGUGAACCAUCGAGUUUUUGAACGCAAGUUGCGCCCGAAGCCUUUGGCUGAGGGCACGUCUGCCUGGGCGUCACGCAUCGCGUCUCCCCCAAAUCCACCCCGAGUGGAGGGGAAGGAGGAUGGUCUCCCGCGACUCACCGGUCGCGGCUGGCCUAAAAUUGGAGCCCUCGGCAUCGGGAUGCUGCGGCGAUAGGUGGUGAACAAGGCCUCGGCCGAGCAAGCAACCCGUCGCGCAUCGCCAUGCCAAUGUGAGCUCGAAGGACCCUUUGAUGUUGCCUGAUAGCAACCAAACCUUUGCGAC
rnacentral:rRNA from 1 species